rnacentral:rRNA from 1 species
UACGUAGGGGGCAAGCGUUGUCCGGAUUCAUUGGGCGUAAAGAGCUUGUAGGCGGUCUGUCGCGUCUGCUGUGAAAAUCCGGGGCUCAACCCCGGACUUGCAGUGGGUACGGGCAGACUAGAGUGUGGUAGGGGAGACUGGAAUUCCUGGUGUAGCGGUGGAAUGCGCAGAUAUCAGGAGGAACACCGAUGGCGAAGGGCAGGUCUCUGGGCCACUACUGACGCUGAGAAGCGAAAGCAUGGGGAGCGAACAGG